CCUACGGGAGGCAGCAGUGGGGAAUAUUGGACAAUGGGGGGAACCCUGAUCCAGCGACGCCGCGUGAGUGAAGAAGUAUUUCGGUAUGUAAAGCUCUAUCAGCAGGGAAGAAAAUGACGGUACCUGACUAAGAAGCCCCGGCUAACUACGUGCCAGCAGCCGCGGUAAUACGUAGGGGGCAAGCGUUAUCCGGAUUUACUGGGUGUAAAGGGAGCGUAGACGGUGCAGCAAGUCUGAUGUGAAAGGUCGGGGCUCAACCCUGGGACUGCAUUGGAAACUGUUGAACUGGAGUAUGGGAGAGGUAGGCGGAAUUCCUGGUGUAGCGGUGAAAUGCGUAGAGAUCAAGAGGAACACCAGUGGCGAAGGCGACUUGCUGGACUGUAACUGACGUUGAGGCGCGAAAGCGUGGGGAGCAAACAGGAUUAGAUACCCGAGUAGUC
rnacentral:rRNA from 1 species